CUCUCUCUCUCCAGUUUCCACCCUCGCCGCUGCCCUGCUCUCCCGGCGACCGUUCGUGUACCCUCUCGCCACUGCUCGCCUAUGUUCACUGUUCAGUCGCCUUCGCCGGGCUGCUUGUGGCCAUCCUUUGCCAAGCUGGCUAUGCCGGCCACCAGCAUUGCAACGAUGACGAGGGCUGCAAAGAUGGGAGAUGAACUUAGAGGAAUUCCUCGAAAACAGAUAUGGGGAGACACGGCCCUUACCCGUACAACGGCCAGUGGCUGAGUGGUUGCUGUGAGGGGAGAGCAGGGUGAGUGCUGAGCUGACAAUAGUACCAUGACUGCCGAUGGCACGGCACGGGACAUGGAUGGCGAGGGCUGGCCAUAGUUUUAGGGUAAAAAACAGAGAUCUGCCCCAAUGUGGAACCAAUUUGACAAACGAGAGAGGACUGCUAGAAUGGGAGCAUAAGAGGACGGCUGUUACUGGGCGAAGUCGACUGUACAGACACAAGCAGUGGCAGGCGGAACAGUUCCUCUUUUUCUUCUCUUUUUGCUCAAUUUCUUGAUGGCCUCUUACGAAUUAUGCCCUUUGGUUUGAGAUUUUGAAGAAUUGGGAGCUGUUCACUGUUCAGAAUCUGAGUGGAAAUAGUAGUGUAUAGUUUUUAUGGAGAAACGGGUAAAAAGUUGGAAAUGCUGUUCACUGUCCAGACAAGGACUAUGAAAUUUCUUGUCAAUAAUAUAUGUUAGGAUUUGUGAGAAUAUCAGUACUGUUCUGGUGGAUUUUUGUUAUUCUUUUUAUGUUAUUGUUUAUGGAGAGUGGCGCGAGAGUUGCCCUUGUCUCUGGAGACUUUAGUCUAACUCUCGCUUAUUGACCUUCGAUCAGCUUGGCAUUGUUAGAAAGGUAACCAUUAGUAGAAGCUCAACUGUCAUUGUUACUGAUCCUUCUACUAAAGCCGAAAUCUAGGCAAGGAUUUUGCAGAUUAAGAAGGAUUUAGCUGAAACCGGCAGUGCAUACCAUUCGCAAAAAGCAUGCAGAAAGAAUUGCCAAUCUCCCUGGUGGGGUUGCUGUAAUUAAGGUUUGCAAAAUCCCAAAAUCUUUUGAUUUCAGCACCUUGUUUGAAGAAACUAAAGAUCUACAAAGCCCGUGAAACUUGAGAUCCCCUAAUUUCCUCAGAGAUAAGAUAAUUGCAUUUAUUCAUCGAAAUCAAGAUUCUGUAGUGCUUGCGAGUCCAUUAGAAAGUUUUACGAAAGCGACUUAGUUUUGUCAUUCUGGAUAAAUAUCUUAUAUAUCUCUAUUCCAUAGUAAGCAAUGUGCAUUCAAUUAAGGUGGGAUGUGGUGGAACUUGAAGAUCGGAAACUUAAGAAUAGAGGAUGAAAAGUAGCCCACAUUUGCUGAUAUGAAUGAGGGAAUGGAGCCUGGUGGUGUUGUAGCUUUAUGUACAUCUUUCGAGUGUAUCCCUGUGUUGAGGAGCAACAUGGAAAGAUCAAGAGGAGCAGGUUGAUUCUAUGUCUUAGCAAAAGUAUGAUAUCUCCAAUAAGCAUCCCCCGGCAGUCAUCAAUAUAGGUGUGCACAGUGAUCUUUGUGCCUUUUUUGGAGGAUGCGCCGUGUCCUGAUUUCGGACCUCAGGCCUCUGUGGACUUGGGCUCAAGCCAUGUAGGCUUGAGGAAAUUAUAUUUUAACAACCUCUUAUGGGGUCUUGAGGAAACCAUGUUCUAGUUUUUCUUUUGAUUGAUAACCUGCCUUGUGUCUUCGAUAAUCACUUGGCCAUUCUAAGCGGAAUGCAUCAAGUAGAGGAUCGUUUCUAGCAUUUUGCUGUUGUUUUGGAGGUUUCUCUGUUCUUAUAGGUGGUCAAUUACAGAUUGCAAUUGCAGGCACUCCUUGCUCCUGCGAAAGCCAUUGCAACUAAUGCAAGGAGCAGAUGGUGAUACCGUAGUAGAGUCAACCUGAACAUGUAAUUGGGAAAUCAGUUACAAUGCAAUGAUGGGAAAAUGUGAAGAUCUUCUCAUUGUUGAAGUGAUAGAUCCAUGCGAGGUUUCAAGGUGCGCGUGACAAAACAGAGUAUCCAUUGCUGGGACAGUCCUGACUACCCAAGCGAUAUUGGUGGAGAAAACUAAAAUGCCCAAGCCACGCAUUCCACUUGUGCCGGGGAUAACACCUUAAAGUAAAACGAAUGAGCAGAUGCGACAUUGCUCAGGAUAGAUAACGAGUCAGAGCUCUCCUUGAUGUGCUUCAUGGAUGCGUGCUUUCCCAAAUGAAGAUGGGCGUGACAUAUUUCGGGGAACUGGAGAGGUGUAAUCUCACUUGUCUGGCUGGUCUUCACGAUUCAUUGCUAUCAUAAUUGAAGAAACGGUUUGAUAUCGAUAGUCACAUAGUUUCUCUGAAUUGCUUAACGGCAAUCACAUUUCUGCAAUCUGAGGAACAUGUGAAACUGCAUCUAACCAACAUUCAUUGUGGGAAUUCAGGUCGACAAUGAUGAAAAAAAUGAUGCUGCUCAUGGAAAUGGUGAUCUCUCUAUUAGACGGUGUUUAUGCACUGGCAAUGACAUCUACCUUGUUUGGGAACCAUGCACAAUGUGUGUGAUGGCACUUGUGCAUCAGAGAAUCAGGCGUGUGUUUUACGCUUUUCCAAAUCUGAGUGCCGGAGCGUUGGGCAGUGUUCACCGGCUACAGGGGGAAAAAAGCUUGAAUCAUCACUAUGCAGUGUUCAGGGUUGUGGUGCCACAAAAUAUGCUCGACAAAUCCAAAACAUCGAUAUCUGGGAGCCGAGAAUGAGAAUGUCGAGUUGAGGAUGCUUGAAUUUUGCAGUAAGAUGAUAAUAGGAAGAUUGUAUUGCAUUAUUUAUCUUCUUGGUCAUCAGAUUUUGGACUUCUUUUUCCCCUUUCUAAUCUUGUCCGAGUUAUGUAUUGCA